CGGUGGAUUAUGUGGUUUAAUUCGAAGCAACGCGCAGAACCUUACCUGGGUUUGAAAUCCGGAGAAUCCUCCCGAAAAGGAGGAGUGCCCUUCGGGGAAUUCCGUGACAGGCGCUGCAUGGCUGUCGUCAGCUCGUGUCGUGAGAUGUUGGGUUAAGUCUCGCAACGAGCGCAACCCCUAUUCUUAGUUGCCAGCAUUAAGUUGGGCACUCUAGGGAGACUGCCCGGGCUAACCGGGAGGAGGGUGGGGACGACGUCAAGUCCUCAUGGCCCUUAUACCCAGGGCUACACACGUAAUACAAUGGUGCAUACAAAGGGAAGCGACCCGGCAACGGUGAGCAAAUCCCAAAAAGUGCAUCUCAGUCCGGAUUGGAGUCUGCAACUCGACUCCAUGAAGUUGGAAUCGCUAGUAAUCGCGGAUCAGCACGCCGCGGUGAAUACGUUCCCGGGCCUUUGUACACACCGCCCGUCACAACCAUGGGAGUUGGUUUUACCUGAAGUCGUGGCCUUAACUGCUGACAGAGGGGAGCGCCUACGUCGACCGAGACUGG
rnacentral:rRNA from 1 species